rnacentral:rRNA from 1 species
GACGAACGCUGGCGGCAUGCUUAACACAUGCAAGUCGAACGGAAAGGCCCUGCUUUUGUGGGGUGCUCGAGUGGCGAACGGGUGAGUAACACGUGAGUAACCUGCCCUUGACUUUGGGAUAACUUCAGGAAACUGGGGCUAAUACCGGAUAGGAGCUCCUGCUGCAUGGUGGGGGUUGGAAAGUUUCGGCGGUUGGGGAUGGACUCGCGGCUUAUCAGCUUGUUGGUGGGGUAGUGGCUUACCAAGGCUUUGACGGGUAGCCGGCCUGAGAGGGUGACCGGCCACAUUGGGACUGAGAUACGGCCCAGACUCCUACGGGAGGCAGCAGUGGGGAGUAUUGCACAAUGGGCGGAAGCCUGAUGCAGCAACGCCGCGUGCGGGAUGACGGCCUUCGGGUUGUAAACCGCUUUCGCCUGUGACGAAGCGUGAGUGACGGUAAUGGGUAAAGAAGCACCGGCUAACUACGUG